rnacentral:rRNA from 1 species
AGAACGAACGCUGGCGGCAUGCCUAAUACAUGCAAGUCGAACGAACACUUCGGUGUUAGUGGCGCACGGGUGCGUAACGCGUGGGAAUCUGCCCUUGGGUUCGGAAUAACAGUUGGAAACGACUGCUAAUACCGGAUGAUAUCGAAAGAUCAAAGGUUUAUCGCCCAGGGAUGAGCCCGCGUAGGAUUAGCUAGUUGGUGAGGUAAAGGCUCACCAAGGCGACGAUCCUUAGCUGGUCUGAGAGGAUGAUCAGCCACA